rnacentral:rRNA from 1 species
CCUACGGGAGGCAGCAGUGGGGAAUAUUGCGCAAUGGGCGAAAUCCUGACGCAGCGACGCCGCGUGAGGGAUGAAGGUCUUCGGAUCGUAAACCUCUGUCAGCAGGGAAGAACGGUCACUGUGCUAAUCAGCAGUGAAUUGACGGUACCUGCAAAGGAAGCACCGGCUAACUCCGUGCCAGCAGCCGCGGUAAUACGGAGGGUGCGAGCGUAAAUCGGAAUUACUUGGCGUAAAGCGCUCGUAGGCGGUAUGUCAAUUCAAGGGUGAAAUCCCCGCGCUGAACGUGGGAACUGCAUUUGAAACUGGCAAACUGGAGUGUGUAAGAGGAUAGUGGAAUGCCAGGUGUAGGAGUGAAAUCCGUAGAUAUCUGGAGGAACAUCAGUGGCGAAGGCGACUAUCUGGCACAUAACUGACGCUGAGGAGCGAAAGCGUGGGUAGCAAACAGGAUUAGAUACCCCGGUAGUC